UUAAAUUUAAAAAUUGAUCCAUAUGAAAAAACGAAAAAUAUAUAAAACAUAAAAUCAGAAACAAAUAUAUAAUAGUAUAAAAAUGAUCAUAACGAGAUAUAAAUUACGUCAAAUCAAAAAAAAAUGUAAAACAAAAAAAAACUUAUGACAAUAUAUAAAGAGAUAAUGUAAACAAUAAAAAAUACAACAAUCCACCCGAAACCCACAAAUCAUUUUCAAAUUUCGGGCCAACAUAUUAAAAAGAGCCACAAUAUUAACAUCUAUAUCUAUAUAUGGUAAAAAACCUAAUAGCACAUGUUUAUGAGUUUCUCAAUGAUUCUCCACCGCACUUCCGUUUACACUCAC
rnacentral:lncRNA from 1 species